CACGGAAACCUUGGCAACGGCGGAGCUUAGGGCAGGAGCCCAGAGGGUUGGGCAGACCAUGGGGCAGACAGAAGCUGUUGACAUGUACUGGGACCACAACAUCUGUUUGGUUUUGCAAUAUUCAGGAUGUCUCAGCACACACAUCCUGUGUCUGAUGGGAAAGCAGAGCAUUGUGACAAACAGGUCAUGAGCAUCUUCUCGGGGCAGCGAGGGUCAUGUGAGCGACAGUGAGAAAGGCUCCAGUCCAGGAAUAAUUCUUUAAGGCGGAUGGCAAGAAAUCCUCAAGGACAACACUGAUAUUCCCAAAUGAUCCUGGAGUUUGGGACAAUAAACUAACGUUUUUUGGUUAUCUGAUUAUCCCUCCCACUCUGUUCAGCAACUACUAUCAAAUUCAAAGAUAUCUGUCUAAUACAUGAAUCAUAUUUCCUAAUGAAUGAAAGGAAAAGAUUCAAUUUGAAUAGGGAGCGCACACUGCGAUACAGAUCUUACAGAA